GUAAAAAGGAAUAAAGCUAUUUCAGUUUUUUAGAAAUUUUAAUAGUUUCCAUACCGGUACAGUUAAAGGAAAUUUAUUUAUAAAUAACUUGAUCUCAAAUCAGAUAAGAGUACCCGCUGAACUUAAGCAUAUCAAUAAGCGGAGGAAAAGAAACUAACAAGGAUUCCCUUAGUAACGGCGAGUGAAGCGGGAAGAGCUCAAAUUUGAAAUCUUCAAGGUUCUACCUUGACGAAUUGUAGUUUAAAGAAGUGUUUUCUGUUAGAGGAGUGGCAAAAGUUCUUUGGAAUAGGACAUCAUAGAGGGUGAGAAUCCCGUAUUUGGUCAUUCUUUCUAGCUGUGUGAUACACUUUCAAAGAGUCGGAUUGUUUGGGAAUGCAGCCCAAAAUGGGUGGUAAAUUUCAUCUAAAGCUAAAUAUUGGCGAGAGACCGAUAGCGAACAAGUACCGUGAGGGAAAGAUGAAAAGAACUUUGAAAAGAGAGUUAAACAGUACGUGAAAUUGUCAAAAGGGAAGCGUUUGACACCAGUGUUGUUUUUCCGAAAAUCAAUUGUGCCUGGCUGGAUUUUGUAGGAGUUUGACCUUAUCAGCUUCUUCUGCUUUUUUCCGGUCUGGUGCAAUGCACUUUUCGGUUAACAAGUCAACAUCAAUUUCUUUUGUUGUAAAAGGGUAAUUGGAAGGUGGCUUUCUUUUCGGAGAAAGUGUUUAUAGCCUUUUACCUCUACAAUCGGAGAGAUUGAGGUCUGCAGCGUAGAUCCUUCGGGGUUAGAUACAUUUGUGCUAAGUUAUAACCCUGUAUAGACAACUUGUUGACUAUACUCGGUCAUGUAGCUUACUCGCUUAUGCUAUUUUACCUACGCUUAGGAUGUUGACAAAAUG
rnacentral:rRNA from 1 species